rnacentral:misc_RNA from 1 species
UCACAUGACUAAAGUGGAAAACAAAGAUGGCGGACCUGGUCACAGGAGAUGAGUGGAGAAAAUGCGUUUCAUGGCUAAUUCGCUGCAAAUUAAUUAGCGAUGACCAUCGAGUUAACGCAUCCGACCAAGUGUGCGAAUUUGUUCAUUUGCUACGCGAUGGUGUAAUAUUAUGCAAUUUAUGCAAUGUAUUAAGCCCAGAAUCAAUUCCUUCAAAAAAUUUCUCACAGAGACCUAAUAAUUCACAGUUCUUAAGCGUCAAAAAUAUAAAAGCCUUUAUUCAAGCCUGCAAUGAAUUCGAUUUAAACCCAGAUGAUAUAUUUAUGCCAAAUGACCUUUACGAGUUAGAAGAUAUUGGAAAAGUUCUUCGAACGUUAUCAAAACUGUCAAGAUCCCCAAAGGCUAGGCAAUCGGGCAUAGAAGGAUUUGGAAUCUCCGCCAGUCACAACGAAGAUUAUUUCGACUUAGCAGAUAGAUAUAGUUCAUUCGAACAAAUUCACGCCUACGAUGACUACGGAGAAAAUGACGACAAAGAAGAAGAAAUCUACGAAGCUAUUGUUUAUCAAAGACGAAGAACCUUGCCGUCAAUUACUGACGUAAGAAAUUAUCCAAUUGAUGAACUUGUCGAAACAGAAAAACGAUAUUUAGAGUUAAAUUUAAAGAUGAUUAAAAAGCACUUUAUGGAUCCUUUGAGGAGUAUUAUUCCAAAAGAUGAUUUUGAAAGUAUAUUUUACAUGAUUGACGACCUUAUAAAAGUUCAUACAGAGUUAUGCAGGGAUCUAAUUAAUGCUAAAGAACAAAAUUCGAGCAUUGGUGCACCAUUCGAAAGGAAUAAAAUGAAAUUCACUGUCUACGGUUAUUAUUGUUCAAAUUUACCACUCGCUGAAGAAGUGCUGCAAGAUCUUAUGAAGAGAUGCGAAGUGUAUAGACAAAAAAUCCAGGCGUUCGAAGUAAAAAUGGGUGAAGAAUGCGGUUCUACUUUUCCCCUGAACGAAAUCCUUAAGGUCCCAAUGCAAAGGUCGCUCAAAUAUUCAUUACUAUUGGAUACAAUUUUAAAGAAAACUGAUUCAUCACAUAACGACGAGGAAUCAAUCAAAGCUGGUUUAAACGCAAUGAAAGAUUUGGGUAAUUACAUAAAUGAAAUGAAGAGAGAUACGGAAAUGUUAAAUAAUAUAAAGCACAUUGAGAGUAGUAUUUGCUGUUUUGAUAUGCCAGUAAACACUGAAUUAAAAGAUUACGGAAGACUUCUUAUGGAUGGUGAGUUGAAGGUUGCGGAAGGAACUAGCAAUGACAAGAAAACCAGAACAAUAUUCCUAUUUGAUAAAGUAAUGGUUUUAGUAAAAGGUGCCAAAAAUGAUACCUACAAAUACAAAGGUGCCGUUGUUCUGAGUCACUAUUCGCUUUUUAUUGAAAACUCAAGUAAGCAAGGUAGACCUUGGACUUUCUGUCUUCGACUUGAGAAAAAAACUGAUGAGGAAAAUGCUAAACCUGAAUGUUUUAAACUCUAUGCCAGAAAUUUUGAAAGUCAAGGAAGAUGGCAACAUGCCAUCACAGAAGCCCAUAACCAUACUAUACCUAUGAGAGCACAAGAAAAAGGUCACGACUUUUUAAUGUUCAGUUAUAAAGAUCCAACUGAAUGCUCCUUCUGUAAAAGAUUAUUAAGAGGAGCUUUUUACCAAGGAUAUAAAUGUAAAAAGUGUGAAAUAAAUUUACAUUUGGAAUGUGUAAAUAAUGCCAGAAAACCCCAUUGUGCUGCAACGAUAGCAUCGGACACACAUCAAAAUAUUACCACCGUCAGAGCCAUAGCUGAUUUUCCUACUAGGAGUAUUUUGGAAAAUGGUGAUAGCAACACCUACUUAACUUUCAGGAAAGAUGAUGUUAUUCAAGUGAUCGACAGAAUAAAUUCGGAAUGGUCGAAAGGAACUCUUAGGGGUCAAGAGGGAUUGUUUCCCCUCAACUAUGUGCGAUCAGUAAGUUUUAAUUUUUCAACUAUUUCUAAGUUUAAAAAUGUAUUAUUUCUAAAAUUAUUAACAAAACAUAUAAAAAAAAGAUUUUCUAUUAAAUAAAAAAUCCGAUAGCUUUCUUUUUUACUUUCUUGUAAAACAUUCUGUUGAAGAAUUGCGGGUGUUUUUUUUGUUUUCUGCAUGAAAAUUUAAAUAGGUUGACGGUUACGAGCGUACAUCGAUUAUUCAACAAAAUGAGAAUCGACCGAGAGAUUCUACUGAACUUUAUAAAGAGAUAUGGUGAGCAGAACUUUUGUCAUGGAGACAGGCGCUUACUAACGCUUCAAUCGUCAAAAUAUUUUUUCUCCUUUUUUUCCUAUUUCAGACGCUGUUUAUAACUUUAUUAACAUAUGUUGAGUCGAUGUUUAAUCUAAUGAAAGGAUCUAUAAAACAAAUUGUUUUCAAUUAUCUAUUGGUGUAAGACAACAUUUUAUUAAACGCGCAAAACGUUCAUAGAAAAUCUUAGAUCCUUUUAUUUAUAUUUAUUUUUUGUUUAUAUUAAUUUUACCUCAACCUUUCAUCUAUCCCCAUGUUGCUUUUUUUUUCACUAUUUAAUAGUUACACGACUGCGAAAGAAGCGAGUCAUAUCGCGAGACACGCCCUGUUCGACCUCCUUUAGUGCCAAAUCGGCGGAGUGUUGAUCCAUCCGAUAUGAUAUCCAGUCGACGCGAAAAUCAGUCAAAUCUGGAAAUGCUUAAUUACCCUUGGUAAGCUUGUCUUUGCUUUUUAAUCUAUCUGGCUAUCAUCUAUUAGAAAUAACAUAUAUCGUAUGUUCUUUAAUGAAAUUUGCUUGGUAACAGACGCGAUAAACCUCUUGUUCUAUCCGUAAUGGGAAUUUUAUCGCAUUUGGUUCCAAAUAAAUUAUCGUAAUUGUUCCUGUAAUAUUUUAUUUUUUAUUUAUUUAGGUUCAUUGGAAAAAUGACGAGAGAUGUAGCUUGUAAAACAUUGAUGAAUUCACCAAGCGGAACAUUCCUUGUAAGAGAAAGAGAAUUAUCUGGCUACGCCUUAAGCAUUAAGUUUGAAAAUUCUGUGAAACACAUUAAGAUACAUGACACAAAUUCAAGAGAAUACUACAUAGCAGAAUGCAAAAAAUUUACUUCCAUCAAAUUACUAGUUCAAUACUACGAAUCGAAUAACCUGAAGCACUCCUUUGCAGAGUUAGAUACAACCCUUGAACAGGCUUAUCAGCAACCUCCACCACUCCCUCCCAGUACUUCGCAUAGAAUCCCAAUAAUCGGCAAGUGUAGAGUCGAAUUCAACUAUUCAGCAACUGCUCUAAAUCAACUUACUAUCCAUACUGGAGAAAUAAUUGAAAUAAUAUCUAAAGCAACUGAUUCAAGAGGAUGGUGGAAAGGUAGAUUGCAUGGAAGUAUAGGAUAUUUCCCGCACUCUUUUGUUACAGAACUAGAACAAAAUGGAAAUUAAUAAAAAUGAUAAAAAAAUUAAUUUCCAUAGUGAUUUAAUCAAAAUAGAAGGAAAAAAAACACAAAAUACAACAAAAUAUAGAAGCUAACUAACACUAGAUAUAUGUUAAAUAAUUUUUCACCAAUAAUAAAGUUUUUUUAACUUGGAGAACGAAUGAAAAUGAGCUUGGCUAAGGAUAUUCUUCUUUAUUUUUUUUUUUUUUU